GCUAGCGUAGCUUAAGCUAAAAGCAUGCCACUGAAGAUGACAAUAUGGGCCCUAGAAAGCCCCGCCAGCA
rnacentral:tRNA from 1 species